UGGGGAAUAUUGGACAAUGGGCGAAAGCCUGAUCCAGCCAUGCCGCGUGUGUGAAGAAGGUCUUCGGAUUGUAAAGCACUUUAAGUUGGGAGGAAGGGCAUUAACCUAAUACGUUAGUGUUUUGACGUUACCGACAGAAUAAGCACCGGCUAACUCUGUGCCAGCAGCCGCGGUAAUACAGAGGGUGCAAGCGUUAAUCGGAAUUACUGGGCGUAAAGCGCGCGUAGGUGGUUUGUUAAGUUGGAUGUGAAAGCCCCGGGCUCAACCUGGGAACUGCAUUCAAAACUGACUGACUAGAGUAUGGUAGAGGGUGGUGGAAUUGCCUGUGUAGCGGUGAAAUGCGUAGAUAUAGGAAGGAACACCAGUGGCGAAGGCGACCACCUGGACUAAUACUGACACUGAGGUGCGAAAGCGUGGGGAGCAAACA
rnacentral:rRNA from 1 species